rnacentral:rRNA from 1 species
GACGAACGCUGGCGGCGUGCCUAAUACAUGCCAGUUGAGCGCUGAAGGUUGGUACUUGUACCGACUGGAUGAGCAGCGAACGGGUGAGUAACGCGUGGGGAAUCUGCCUUUGAGCGGGGGACAACAUUUGGAAACGAAUGCUAAUACCGCAUAAAAACUUUAAACACAAGUUUUAAGUUUGAAAGAUGCAAUUGCAUCACUCAAAGAUGAUCCCGCGUUGUAUUAGCUAGUUGGUGAGGUAAAGGCUCACCAAGGCGAUGAUACAUAGCCGACCUGAGAGGGUGAUCGGCCACAUUGGGACUGAGACACGGCCCAAACUCCUACGGGAGGCAGCAGUAGGGAAUCUUCGGCAAUGGACGAAAGUCUGACCGAGCAACGCCGCGUGAGUGAAGAAGGUUUUCGGAUCGUAAAACUCUGUUGGUAGAGAAGAACGUUGGUGAGAGUGGAAAGCUCAUCAAGCGACGGUAACUACCCAGAAAGGGACGGCUAACUACGUG